rnacentral:rRNA from 1 species
CACGUAGGCGGAUUGGCAAGUCGGUUGUGAAAGCCCGGGGCUCAACCCCGGAACUGCUUCCGAAACUGCCAGUCUGGAGGACGAGAGGGGAGAGUGGAACUUCUGGUGGAGCGGUGAAAUGCGUAGAUAUCAGAAGGAACACCGGUGGCGAAAGCGACUCUCUGGCUCGUUUCUGACGCUGAGGUGCGAAAGCUAGGGUAGCGAACG